ensembl:misc_RNA Metazoa_SRP Metazoan signal recognition particle RNA
ACAGUGGUGCACGCACAUAGGCCCCGCUACUCAGGCUUGAGGAGGGAGGCUCCCUUGAGCCCAGGAGUUCUAGACUGUAGUGUGCUCUUACCAAUCAGGUGUCUGCACUAAGUUCAUCAUCAAUGUGGUGGUCUCCUCGGAGCACGGGACGCCCAGGUUUCCUAAGGAAAGGGGUGAGCCUACCCACGUUAAAAGAAGGGCAGGUCAACACUCCCAUGCUGAUCAGUAGUGGGAUUGUGCCUGGGAAGAGCCACUAUACUCCAGCCUUGGCAACAUAGUGAGACAUCAUCUCU